rnacentral:SRP_RNA from 1 species
UAGUAGGGAGGGUCGGGGUGCUAGCCGUGCCCCAUACCCGAAACCGGCUAGAUGCGGGGACCAGUAACCGUUGGGUAAAUCCAUGGGGUAUGGAUACCCGCUUACCCUGCUGGUAUGAACCCACGCCACGAUGGGUGGUCAUAGAUGGGCUCCCUGUCCGAAGGGAUAGGGGUACCAUCUUAUCACCGAACCGGGUGAGGUCCGGGAGGGAGCAACCCUAAGGUGAGAUGGCCACGCUGUCGUGUCUACGUGGGGGAUCUGGCUGGGUCUGAGAUGGGGUCCAUGCUCCAUGGUGGAACCAACGGGGCUACUA